rnacentral:misc_RNA from 1 species
GAUGAAGAACGUAGCGAAAUGCGAUAAGUAAUGUGAAUUGCAGAAUUCCGUGAAUCAUCGAAUCUUUGAACGCACAUUGCGCCCCCUGGUAUUCCGGGGGGCAUGCCUGUCCGAGCGUCAUUGCAACCCUCAAGCGCGGCUUGUGUGUUGGGCUUCGUCCCCCCGUGGACGUGCCCGAAAGGCAGUGGCGGCGUCCCGAACGGUGCCCGAGCGUAUGGGAACUCUCUUCCGCUCGAACCGGCCCAUUCGGCGCUGGUCGAACCCCAAUUUUUUUUUACCGGUUGACCUCGGAUCAGGUAGGGAUACCCGCUGAACUUAAGCAUAUCAAUAAGCGGAGGA